AGGAGGGAUGUGAGAGCCUGAAAGGGGCUGCGGGUGGUGGCAAGGCUGUAGGGUCAGUGGCCUGGGGAUCUCAGUGGCGCUGCAGCAUGGCUGAGCGGGGAAGCAGCUUGCAGAGGAGCGGGUGGGGGUCCUGGGAUGGGAGGAUGGCAAUGGGGCCCCAGGGGCGGAGCGGUUAGCGGUGGUGAUGAUCACGUGAGGGUAUGACUAUGGGUGGAUGGGAGUGUGGGGUGGAAGGCGAGGCCAUCUAAGGAGCUCAGGGUAUGGAGAGAAUGCAGCGAGCCAGGGCGUGAGGCCGUCAACAGGCGUUGGCAAUGACAGGCUCAGACGCCUCCACUUCAGUCAAGCCCGCCUCCCGGAGACCUCAGCUGGGCCCUGCCUCUGCACUACUGGCCUGCUGGCUCUUGCCUCUACUGUGAAUCUCCGUGAACCCGGGUCCCCAGUCCAUUCCUGCCGCGAUGUGUCUGCCGGGCUCACCCUGGUGCUGAUCACCAGCCCAGGCAGGUGGCCGGGGCAGGGGCCCAGCGAGAGGUGACGCCAGGUAUGUGAGAAGCUGUGUGUACGUGUUGAAGUAGCAGAGAGUGCAGGGACCAUGUGGUUUGGGGAAAGCACCCCAAUCCUUCUGAUGCCCCCCUCCACCUUGAAAUCCAACUUUAAAAACUGGCAUAGUUUAAGGUGUAAUGAAAAGAUUAGAAUUUGAGUUUCAAACAGGUGGAUUGGUACAUAGAUACACAUGAUUUUAUUUAUCUAUUUAUUUUUAACUUUUCUAUCUUUAAAGAUUUUAUUUAUUCAUGAGAGACACAGAUAGAGAGGCAGAGACACAGGCAGAGGGAGAAGCAGGCUCCCUGCAGGGAGCCCCAUGUGGGACUUGAUCCCAGAACCCUGGGAUCAGGGCCUGAGCCGAAGGCAGAUGCUCAACUGCUGAGCCACCCAGGUGUUCCCAUAAUUUUAUUAAAAAAAAAAAAAGCCUUCUAUCUAUUUAUAGUUGCCUGGAGGCAUUUGAAGGAAACAGAUUCCCCUUGAAGAAAUUGUGAAGACAGCCGCAGAGGGAGGACGAGGAGGCGAAACCAGCUUUAAGAACACACACACACACACACACACACACUCACACACGCCCGUCCGUAGAACGACUCAGAGCAGGACCCAUGCCAACUGCAGAUCCCGAAUGUCCCUUACUCUGGCGUCCUCUGGGUGGCAUCUCAGGGCCAGACAGGCCUUCAGGAGGGCAAGACAGGGCCGGGGUGCCUGGCCCACUUUUCUGGGAGAAAAGGCAGCACUAGAAUGGUAGCAGCUGGGCUCACCCG
rnacentral:lncRNA from 12 species